AGCGCCAGGGAAUUACGAGCAAUGCUUAAAACCCAAAGGAUUUGACGGUAUCCCAUCCACCUAGAGGAGCCUGUUCUAUAAUCGAUAACCCCCGCUAUACCCAACCACUCCUAGCUUAUCAGCCUGUAUACCUCCGUCGAAAGCCUACCAUGUGAAUGUUCUCAGUAAGCUUAAUGUCCCCGUCAAAACGUCAGGUCAAGGUGCAGCUCAUGGAGCGGAAAGAAAUGGGCUACAAUUUCUAACCUAGAACACACGAAAAACUAGGUGAAACCCUAGUCAUGAAGGCGGAUUUAGUAGUAAAAAGAAAAUAGAGUGUUCUUUUUAAUUUGGCCCUGGGAUGUGUACACACCGCCCGUCACCCUCUUCGACUGUAUUUAAUACUGUUUUAUAACUUCCCCCCACAUUUUAGAAGAGGCAAGUCGUAACAUGGUAAGUGUACUGGAAAGUGCACUUGGCUAACAA
rnacentral:rRNA from 1 species